UUUUUAAUAGUAGCCGUCAGA
rnacentral:piRNA from 1 species